AUGGAGGCGAGCUCGGGUCCUAGCCGGAGUUCCAGCCAGGAGCCGGAUGGCCCAUGCGACGGAGCGGACCGCCUCAGCGCCCUCCCCGACGACCUGCUCCUCGACGUCCUCGCCCGCCUCCCCUGCGCCGCCGCCGCCGCCCGCACCGAAGUCCUCUCCCGCCGGUGGCUCGGCCUCUGGGCCGGCCUCCGCCAGAUCGUCUUCCGCGGCGUGGCCCUCCCGUCGCUCGAGGCGGCGCUCGGCCGCGUCGAUCUUCCCCUGCCCGCGGUUUCCCUCAUCAAAAUCCGCGUCCCCAUCAAGCAGCAGCGUCCCCAUCAACCCGCCCCCAAGGACAAGGAGCACUGGAGAGACAGCGCCGGCGUCCCCAUCAACUCGCUGCUCCGCGCCGCCGCGCGGCUCGAGCCGGAGAAGCUCGACUUCCGCAUCCCCUCCGGCAUAAGCGAGCGCGCCCUCGCUGUCGACCUGCCUUGCUUGCCCCGCGCCACCUUCAUCGCGCUCAACUUUUCCUCCCUCUUCUCCCUCGCCGCCGUGCCGGCCGGCGCCGAGUUCCCCGCACUCGAGACGCUGUCCCUGGCGGAAUGCAUCACCGACCUCGGCGGCUUGCUCUCCUGCUGCCCGCGCUUGCGCACGCUCCGCCUCAGCAGGGCUGUGUUCCCUGACUGCGUCAUUAGGGUCGUCAACUCGCCUCUGCUGCAGGAGCUUGUCGUGGAAUGCGAGGCCAGAUUGACACAGCGUGUCGUCAUUGUUGCUCCCGAGCUUAAGCAAUUGACCAUCUCAUUUACAUCGGUGGUGGCGGUUAACAUCACCGUCUUGGCGCCAGUGGUGGAGAAGAUUUCAUGGCAGUGCUGCUACUUGGGGCCGUAUAUUGUGUUUGGUCUUUGGAGCCUGAGCAAACUGCGGCUACAGUCGGCGGAGAGACAAGGAGAGCCAACGACGCUGUACAUUUAUGCCUGCGUCGACCCGUCUCCUUUUCGCGCUCAGGUGCACAACUUUAGGCGGGAGAUACAGAGGCACAUGGUUGCUGCCUUCUCCGUUUUCGAGCUACAUCUCACAGCCAAGGGGCAUGCUUUCGGAGCGUUUGUGGUUCAUCAUCUCCUUGGGAUGGAUCGAAUUAGUACUGCUACUCGGAGGCUUAAGGUCGUCCUACAUAGAUCAGAGUUGAGAGAAGUAUGCCCGACACACUGUCCUUGUGAGUCUCCGAACUGGAGGUCCCAAACUAUCUCCUUGGAUGCUCUCGAGGAAGUGGAGUUCAAUGGAUUCGACGGAGUGGAUCAUGAGUUUGAUUUAUUGGAAUUGAUACUUGGAUGUGCACCGAUGCUAAAAAGAAUGAUUGUCAAGCUGUCCGAGGAGACCUCGGCAAGUAAUGAUGGAUGCGCAAAGAUAGUCAACAUCUUCAAGCAGGCAUCUUCUUCUGUGGAAUGUAAUGUUUAUCACAGCUCGGGGAUAAUGUACAGCAGCCAAAAUUGCCCUUCGACAUGA
rnacentral:rRNA from 1 species